UACGUAGGGGGCAAGCGUUAUCCGGAUUUACUGGGUGUAAAGGGAGCGUAGACGGCGAUGCAAGCCAGAUGUGAAAGCCCGGGGCUCAACCCCGGGACUGCAUUUGGAGCUGUGUGGCUGGAGUGUCGGAGAGGCAGGCGGAAUUCCUAGUGUAGCGGUGAAAUGCGUAGAUAUUAGGAGGAACACCAGUGGCGAAGGCGGCCUGCUGGACGAUGACUGACGUUGAGGCUCGAAAGCGUGGGGAGCAAACAGG
rnacentral:rRNA from 1 species